UAAUAAAGUACUGUUUUCUCCCUUUCAGCAGUACAUUGUAUUACAACAAAUGGACAGAGGAGUUGACUAUUGAUAGUGACUGAUAAUGGACUGGAGUAACCUAGGGUCCAAUGACUCCAUGCCUGACAGUCCAUGUGUACAUAAUUAGCUCCUCAGAUGUAAGUGGAAGGGAAGCUAUAUACAUUAUAUGUUUAAAUGAAAUUAACAACAGGAUUAGAUAUUGAGGAGAUCCUAUAGCUACAGUAUAUAUAAAUGUAACUGCAACUGUAUUCCAAGAGUCUGACGGCUGAUAAUGUAUUACAGGAUUUUAUCAUUCAAGCAACAUCUUAGAAGGAUCAGUGCAAAUGUUUGAAGGAAGCCUUGGGUACAAAUAGCAAUUCCAGCAAUUACAUGCAGGAGAGAACUCUUAAACAUUACUUACAGACAUGUAGUCAUUAUAUGGGAGUGGUGUAUUUAAGAAAUCUAAAACACAUGAAAUUAAAUAUUGUGUAUAUUAUUUCAACCACAAGUACUCUCAGAAUAUAAUACAAUUCAAAUUCAAAUUAUUGUGUCAACAUGACAAUUAUAGUCUAAAAAUGGAAA